rnacentral:sRNA from 1 species
AGGCAGGCAGGCGCGCUCGAGCGAGGUAGGAGCGAUGUGGCCUGGGAACGCCUGGCGCGCCGCACUCUUCUGGGUGCCCCGCGGCCGCCGCGCACAGUCAGCGCUGGCGCAGCUGCGUGGCAUUCUGGAGGGAGAGCUGGAAGGCAUCCGCGGAGCUGGCACUUGGAAGAGUGAGCGGGUCAUCACGUCCCGUCAGGGGCCGCACAUCCGCGUGGACGGCGUCUCCGGAGGAAUCCUUAACUUCUGUGCCAACAACUACCUGGGCCUGAGCAGCCACCCUGAGGUGAUCCAGGCAGGUCUGCAGGCUCUGGAGCAGUUUGGAGCUGGCCUCAGCUCUGUCCGCUUUAUCUGUGGAACCCAGAGCAUCCACAAGAAUCUAGAAGCAAAAAUAGCCCGCUUCCACCAGCGGGAGGAUGCCAUCCUCUAUCCCAGCUGUUUUGACGCCAACGCCGGCCUCUUUGAGGUGUGUGGAAGCUGUCCUGCGGGUGAGGGUUGGUGGGGCCUGUUAGGCUGAGGAAGGCUUGGGGGUGGGCAGUCGGGAGAACCUAGCA